UUAUAAGGAAGGCGGCGGUCCUCUAUUUCAGCCUUUCUUUGUGCCGGGACAAGGCCGUAGCGUUUCUAGUCUUGUAAACACUGCACUCUUUGGGGUCU
ensembl:misc_RNA